UAGGAAUCUUCCACAAUGGACGCAAGUCUGAUGGAGCAACGCCGCGUGAGUGAAGAAGGUUUUCGGAUCGUAAAGCUCUGUUGUUGGUGAAGAAGGAUAGAGGCAGUAACUGGUCUUUAUUUGACGGUAAUCAACCAGAAAGUCACGGCUAACUACGUGCCAGCAGCCGCGGUAAUACGUAGGUGGCAAGCGUUGUCCGGAUUUAUUGGGCGUAAAGCGAGCGCAGGCGGAAUGAUAAGUCUGAUGUGAAAGCCCACGGCUCAACCGUGGAACUGCAUCGGAAACUGUCAUUCUUGAGUGCAGAAGAGGAGAGUGGAACUCCAUGUGUAGCGGUGGAAUGCGUAGAUAUAUGGAAGAACACCAGUGGCGAAGGCGGCUCUCUGGUCUGCAACUGACGCUGAGGCUCGAAAGCAUGGGUAGCGAACAGGAUUAGAUACCCUGGUAGUCCAUGCCGUAAACGAUGAGCGCUAGGUGUUGGGGACUUUCCGGUCCUCAGUGCCGCAGCAAACGCAUUAAGCGCUCCGCCUGGGGGAGUACGACCGCAAGGUUGAAAC
rnacentral:rRNA from 1 species